GUGUCAGCCGCCGCGGUAAUACGUAGGUGGCAAGCGUUACUCGGAAUCACUAGGCGUAAAGCGCAGGUAGGCGGUUCGGUAAGUCUUUUGUGAAAGCUCCUGGCUCAACUGGGAGAGGUCAAAGGAAACUACCGGGCUAGAGUUUGGUAGGGGAUACUGGAAUUCCUGGUGUAGCGGUGAAAUGCGUAGAUAUCAGGAGGAAUACCUAUGGCGAAAGCAGGUAUCUGGGCCACAACUGACGCUGAGCUGCGAAAGCUAGGGGAGCAAACAGGAUUAGAUACCCUAGUAGUCC
rnacentral:rRNA from 1 species